rnacentral:sRNA from 2 species
CCCGUAACCAUCACCCGCUGGAACUCUCUCCAGUUCACGUUUUGUAAUGUCCCAGCCAACCCAUUGUUCUGGAGAAUAAAUGUGUUUGGCCCCACGUAUUUGGACUCACGUCUCCCGUUUCCGACAAUGAGGGACGUUAAGAGAGCUUGAAGUCGUGAGUGAUAAUCAGUCGAAUCAACAGCCGCCUAGUGUGCAAUUGAUAGAAGUCCAAAUGGGUUCGUUCAGCUAGUCGUCGCCAUCUAGUUAUAAUUAUGCCAUAGGUCGCUAACUGGAAACUCCUGUUCGAUGACUGCUCGCAACUUGUAACUGAGUUCGAACCACUCUCUGUUCAAUGGUUCGAGCUGGAUUGUUCUUUCUCUAUUUUCUUUCUUCAGGCUAAACAAGAGUGUUUUCGGAUGGAAAAAGGUAAUGAACGAAAAAAUAUAGAGGACUC